AAGUCGUAACAAGGUUUCCGUAGGUGAACCUGCGGAAGGAUCAUUAUUGUAUCUUUCUCAACCAGCGCUUAAUUGCGCGGUUGGAAACCCAUUCACACAUUGUUUUUGUUAAUUUCUUUGCAUUCAGUAACAGCUAGGCUAGUGGUAAAUGGGGGGCAACCUCCUUUUACUAUUGAUGCUGAUACUGUUCUGAACACGAGGAGAUUCAUUACUAAACUCCUUUACGGAAUGUUUUUUAACAAAUAUUGUCAUUGAAAUUAAAAAUUCAAAACUUUUAAAACUUUCAGCAACGGAUCUCUUGGUUCUC
rnacentral:misc_RNA from 1 species